rnacentral:lncRNA from 11 species
UAGCACUAGGAGCCUUUCAUUUAGAUGCUCUCUGUGGGAGAAGAUGGGCAAUCUUCACCUCUAUCUGAAAGAUGAGAAUUGGGACUGAAGUGAAAGAAAACCAGCAUCAUCAUCUUCUCUAAGCUUUCCUGGCUUCACAGAAUGGACUUUAGAAGCUUGGAAUAAUCCCUUCACAAAUAAUGAGGCUUGGGAAACCAGAAAGUCAAUCAAAUUGGUAAAUAUGGUUCUUUUU